AUUGAACGCUGGCGGCAUGCCUUACACAUGCAAGUCGAACGGCAGCACGGGAGCAAUCCUGGUGGCGAGUGGCGAACGGGUGAGUAAUAUAUCGGAACGUGCCCAGUCGUGGGGGAUAACGUAGCGAAAGCUACGCUAAUACCGCAUACGAUCUAUGGAUGAAAGCGGGGGAUCGCAAGACCUCGCGCGAUUGGAGCGGCCGAUAUCAGAUUAGGUAGUUGGUUGAGGUAAAGGGCUCACCAAGCCGACGAUCUGUAGCUGGUCUGAGAGGACGACCAGCCACACUGGGACUGAGACACGGCCCAGACUCCUACGGGAGGCAGCAGUGGGGAAUUUUUGGACAAUGGGCGCAAGCCUGAUCCAGCAAUGCCGCGUGCAGGAUGAA
rnacentral:rRNA from 1 species